rnacentral:rRNA from 1 species
CACUCCUACGGGAGGCAGCAGUAGGGAAUCUUCGGCAAUGGGGGCAACCCUGACCGAGCAACGCCGCGUGAGUGAAGAAGGUUUUCGGAUCGUAAAGCUCUGUUGUAAGUCAAGAACGAGUGUGAGAGUGGAAAGUUCACACUGUGACGGUAGCUUACCAGAAAGGGACGGCUAACUACGUGCCAGCAGCCGCGGUAAUACGUAGGUCCCGAGCGUUGUCCGGAUUUAUUGGGCGUAAAGCGAGCGCAGGCGGUUUGAUAAGUCUGAAGUUAAAGGCUGUGGCUCAACCAUAGUUCGCUUUGGAAACUGUCAAACUUGAGUGCAGAAGGGGAGAGUGGAAUUCCAUGUGUAGCGGUGAAAUGCGUAGAUAUAUGGAGGAACACCGGUGGCGAAAGCGGCUCUCUGGUCUGUAACUGACGCUGAGGCUCGAAAGCGUGGGGAGCGAACAGGAUUAGAAACCCUUGUAGUCCCAUG